rnacentral:rRNA from 1 species
CCUACGGGAGGCAGCAGUGGGGAAUAUUGGACAAUGGGGGGAACCCUGAUCCAGCGACGCCGCGUGAGUGAAGAAGUAUUUCGGUAUGUAAAGCUCUAUCAGCAGGGAAGAAAGAAAUGACGGUACCUGACUAAGAAGCCCCGGCUAACUACGUGCCAGCAGCCGCGGUAAUACGUAGGGGGCAAGCGUUAUCCGGAUUUACUGGGUGUAAAGGGAGCGUAGGCGGCGAUGCAAGUCAGAAGUGAAAGCCCGGGGCUCAACUCCGGGACUGCUUUUGAAACUGUAUGGCUAGAUUGCAGGAGAGGCAAGUGGAAUUCCUAGUGUAGCGGUGAAAUGCGUAGAUAUUAGGAGGAACACCAGUGGCGAAGGCGGCUUGCUGGACUGUAAAUGACGCUGAGGCUCGAAAGCGUGGGGAGCAAACAGGAUUAGAUACCCUUGUAGUC